rnacentral:rRNA from 1 species
CAGCCGCCGCGGUAAUACUAGCGGUCCAAGUCGCAGCCACAUUUAUUGGGUCUAAAACAUCCGUAGCUUGUUUGAUAAGUUUCUUGUGAAAUCUUGUCUCUUAAAGACAGGGCGUGCAAGAAGUACUGUCAAGCUAGAGACUGGGAGACGUAAAGAGUACGUCUAAAGUAGCGGUAAAAUGCUUUAAUCUUAGACGGACUAACAAUAGCGAAGGCACUUUACGAGAACAGUUCUGACAGUCAGGGAUGAAGGCUAGGGGCGCAAAACGGAUUAGAUACCCGUGUAGUCCUAGCAGUAAACACUGUACACUAAACAUUGGGACCUCUUCGAGAGGUUUCAGUGCUGCAGGGAAGCCGAAGAGUGUACUACCUGGGAAGUAUAGUCGCAAGGCCGAAACUUAAAGGAAUUGGCGGGGAGACACUACAAUGGGUGACGCGUGCGGUUCAAUUAGAUUAUACACCGUGAACCUCACCAGGAGCGACAGCAGGAUGAAGGUCAGUCUGAAGGGCUUACCUGACACGCUGAGAAGAGUUGCAUGGCCGACGUCAGCCUGUGCCGUGAGGUGACCUGUUAAAUCAGGUAACAGGCAAGACCCACAUCUCUAUUUACUAUUGAACUAUAGAGAGAUUGCCUCGGUAACGUGGAUGAAAGUGUGGGCUACGUUAGGUGAGUACAGCCCGAAUCCCCUGGGCAACACGCGCGCGUCAAUGGUGAAUACAACGAGAUGCGACUCUGAAAGGAGAAGCUAAUCUCUUAAAGUUCAUCUCAGUCCAGAUUGAGGUUUGUAACUCAGCCUCAUGACGAUGGAAUCCAUAGUAAUCGUUUGUUAGCAGCGAACGGUGAAUACGUCACUGUCUCUUGCACACACCGCCCGUCAAACCAACCGAGUUUUGUUAUGAUGAAACUCUUCUGAGGAAAACCAUGGCAAGAUGAGGUAGGUUAAGUCGUAACAAGGUAACCGUA